UGGGGAAUCUUGCGCAAUGGGCGAAAGCCUGACGCAGCAACGCCGCGUGCGGGAUGAAGGCCUUCGGGUUGUAAACUCCUUUCGGGUGGGACGAUGCUGACGGUACCACCAGAAGAAGCACCGGCUAACUACGUGCCAGCAGCCGCGGUAAUACGUAGGGUGCAAGCGUUAAUCGGAAUUACUGGGCGUAAAGCGUGCGCAGGCGGUUAUAUAAGUCAGAUGGGAAAUCCCCGGGCUCCACCUGGGGAC
rnacentral:rRNA from 1 species